rnacentral:lncRNA from 1 species
GAGGCCAAGAUGGAUGGAUCAUUUCAGACAUAGUCCUCAUUUCCAAGAUAACAAGCCUGACAAAAUUAUACUGGAGCAAGUCCACAGAUACCACCGGAGAAAUAGUGUUGACGCAGUCUCCAGCCACCCUGUCUUUGUCUCCAGGGGAAAGAGCCACCCUCUCCUGCAGGGCCAGUCAGAGUGUUAGCAGCUACUUAGCCUGGUACCAGCAGAAACCUGGCCAGGCUCCCAGGCUCCUCAUCUAUGGUGCAUCCAACAGGGCCACUGGCAUCCCAGCCAGGUUCAGUGGCAGUGGGUCUAGGACAGACUUCACUCUCACCAUCAGCAGCGUGGAGCCUGAAGAUUUUGCAGUUUAUUACUGUCAGCAGUAUAAUAACCAGCCUCCCACAGUGAUUCAACAUGAAACAAAAACCUCAAGAAGACCAUCAGUGUUUACUAGAUUAUACCAGCUGCUUCCUUUACAGACAGCUAGUGGGGUGGCCACUCAGUUUUAGCAUCUCUGCUCUAUUUGGCCAUUUUGGAGCUCAAGUUCUCAAGUCCAAAAUUACUUAUGUUAGUCCAUUACAUCAUACCAUUUCAGCAUGGCUAUUACAUUCAUUUAAACGCAUUUUAUAAGGCAU